UACGAAGGGGGCUAGCGUUGCUCGGAUUGACUGGGCGUAAAGGGCGCGUAGGCGGUUCGUACAGUCAGACGUGAAAUUCCUGGGCUCAACCUGGGGGCUGCGUUUGAUACGUGCGGACUUGAGUGCGGAAGAGGGUCGUGGAAUUCCCAGUGUAGAGGUGAAAUUCGUAGAUAUUGGGAAGAACACCGGUGGCGAAGGCGGCGACCUGGUCCGAUACUGACGCUGAGGCGCGAAAGCAUGGGGAGCAAACAGG
rnacentral:rRNA from 1 species